rnacentral:rRNA from 1 species
AUUGAACGCUGGCGGCAUGCCUUACACAUGCAAGUCGAACGGUAACGGGCCUUCGGGUGCCGACGAGUGGCGAACGGGUGAGUAAUGCAUCGGAACGUACCUUUCAGUGGGGGAUAACGUAGCGAAAGUUACGCUAAUACCGCAUAUUCUGUGCGCAGGAAAGCAGGGGAUAGCAAGACCUUGCGCUGAUUGAGCGGCCGAUGUCAGAUUAGCUAGUUGGUGAGGUAAAGGCUCACCAAGGCGACGAUCUGUAGAGGGUCUGAGAGGAUGAUCCGCCACACUGGAACUGAGACACGGUCCAGACUCCUACGGGAGGCAGCAGUGGGGAAUUUUGGACAAUGGGGGCAACCCUGAUCCAGCCAUGCCGCGUGAGUGAAGAAGGCCUUCGGGUUGUAAAGCUCUUUCGGCCGGGAAGAAAUCGCAUGGGCUAAUACCCUGUGCGGAUGACGGUACCGGCAUAAGAAGCACCGGCUAACUACGUGCCAGCCGCCGCCGUAA